rnacentral:rRNA from 1 species
AGAGUUUGAUCCUGGCUCAGGAUGAACGCUAGCGGCAGGCCUAACACAUGCAAGUCGAGGGGCAGCACGGUGUAGCAAUACACUGGUGGCGACCGGCGCACGGGUGCGUAACGCGUAUGCAACCUACCCAUAACAGGGGGAUAACACUGAGAAAUUGGUACUAAUACCCCAUAACAUCAGGACCGGCAUCGGUUUUGGUUGAAAACUCCGGUGGUUAUGGAUGGGCAUGCGUUGUAUUAGCUGGUUGGUGAGGUAACGGCUCACCAAGGCAACGAUACAUAGGGGGACUGAGAGGUUAACCCCCCACAUUGGUACUGAGACACGGACCAAACUCCUACGGGAGGCAGCAGUGAGGAAUAUUGGUCAAUGGACGCAAGUCUGAACCAGCCAUGCCGCGUGCAGGAAGACGGCUCUAUGAGUUGUAAACUGCUUUUGUACGAGGGUAAACGCUCUUACGUGUAAGAGCCUGAAAGUAUCGUACGAAUAAGGAUCGGCUAACUCCGUGCCAGCAGCCGCGGUAAUACGGAGGAUUCAAGCGUUAUCCGGAUUUAUUGGGUUUAAAGGGUGCGUAGGCGGUUUGAUAAGUUAGAGGUGAAAUACCGGUGCUUAACACCGGAACUGCCUCUAAUACUGUUGAGCUAGAGAGUAGUUGCGGUAGGCGGAAUGUAUGGUGUAGCGGUGAAAUGCUUAGAGAUCAUACAGAACACCGAUUGCGAAGGCAGCUUACCAAACUAUAUCUGACGUUGAGGCACGAAAGCGUGGGGAGCAAACAGGAUUAGAUACCCUGGUAGUCCACGCAGUAAACGAUGAUAACUCGUUGUCGGCGAUACACAGUCGGUGACUAAGCGAAAGCGAUAAGUUAUCCACCUGGGGAGUACGUUCGCAAGAAUGAAACUCAAAGGAAUUGACGGGGGCCCGCACAAGCGGAGGAACAUGUG